rnacentral:sRNA from 1 species
UUAAAGGUAGCUCACCACAAGACAGUCUUCCUAUCUGAAAUCAGCAUUGCAGUCCCAGCCAUUUCCUGAAGCUACCACCCUCACUUUCUCCCCAACUCUGAAAUGCUUUUCACUCUCUACCUAGGCUGAAGCCGACGUAGCUUCUCUGAACAGACGCAUCCAGCUGGUUGAGGAAGAGUUGGAUCGUGCCCAGGAGCGUCUGGCAACAGCUUUGCAGAAGCUGGAGGAAGCUGAGAAGGCAGCAGAUGAGAGUGAGAGAGGCAUGAAAGUCAUUGAGAGUCGAGCCCAAAAAGAUGAAGAAAAAAUGGAAAUUCAGGAGAUCCAACUGAAAGAGGCCAAGCACAUUGCUGAAGAUGCCGACCGCAAAUAUGAAGAGGUCAGAUCCUGGGGCCCAAAGCCUUGUGGACUCCCAGCAGUGGCCUUCAGGAAGCCGGGGAGCAAUGCACAGUCUUGAUUCCCGAGUGAGGCCAUCUGCUUUGUUGGCAGAAAUGGGUGGUUUUGAGAAGCAGAGUUCCUUUGUGUCCAGAAAACGGUUCUAAUUUUAAUCCUGCUAGGGGAUCCCAGGCUUUUUCAGGAAGCCGAUCAGUAGCACUGGGAAGAAGGACCAAAACUCCUCUCCCCCAACCACAAAGACCUGGACAAAAGAUCUUUGGCCGGA